rnacentral:rRNA from 1 species
GACAGAGGGUGCAAACGUUGUUCGGAAUUACUGGGCGUAAAGCGCGUGUAGGCGGCCAUGCAAGUCGGAUGUGAAAUCCCACGGCUCAACCGUGGAACUGCUGGGCAUACUGCGGGUCUUGGGCCAACUAGGGGCAGCCGGAACAAGCGGUGGAGCGGUGAAAUGCGUAGAUAUCGCUUGGAACGCCGAAGGUGAAAACAGGCUGCUGGGGUUGCGCCGACGCUGAGACACGAAAGCCAGGGGAGCAAACAGG